rnacentral:rRNA from 1 species
UACGUAGGGGGCAAGCGUUAUCCGGAAUUAUUGGGUGUAAAGGGCGUGUAGGCGGGAGCGCAAGUCAGAUGUGAAAACUCAGGGCUCAACCCUGAGCCUGCAUUUGAAACUGUGUUUCUUGAGUGCUGGAGAGGCAAUCGGAAUUCCGUGUGUAGCGGUGAAAUGCGUAGAUAUACGGAGGAACACCAGUGGCGAAGGCGGAUUGCUGGACAGUAACUGACGCUGAGGCGCGAAAGCGUGGGGAGCAAACAGG